CCUACGCCGGACCUCGAAGGCAUGGAGGCUCGCAAGGCCUCCGGGAACGCGGUGACCAAUCCGCGGCUGCCCCCGCAACUGUGAUCGUCCGUCGAUCGUCGCGGCCUCACGCCACUGGGACUUGAAACUCCUGGGAAGGCGCCGCGACGGGAGGGCGUAAGCCAGGAGACCGGCCUUCGUCACAUCAACGCG
rnacentral:ncRNA from 2 species